rnacentral:rRNA from 1 species
AUGUUCUCUGUGGUAAAGCGUUCCAGGUCAAGGCAGCGGCAUAUUGAAGAUCGGUCGCGUGAGAAGGGUCAAGCGACAAAUAGUGGAAUCAGGGAUGUUAUGCAAGACAUGAUGCAGAGGUCUGGUUUUGCAACUGCAGGUUCGAACAAAACAACUGCAUCAUUAUCCUCCAAACCAUGUGGUGACGGUGAAAACAAUGCUGGAACAACAACCUCUUUGCCAGGUCAGGAGAAAGAUUUUUAUGCCAGUCAGGAUAGAUCAACUGAAUUCGUCAAGUGCAGUAAAGAUGGUGAUCUUGGAAAUCAAGGAGUUAAGUUAGAUUGUUCUCAAAAUCAGAUUGUCAAUUCUGAUAAUAAUGUCAAGGUUUCUGUUAGAAGUUCUUUUGGGGUGCAAGUUACAGGCACUGUGUGCCAUGCACUCCCUGAAACUUAUCUGUCGGUUGAGCCGAAAAAACUUCAAUUCGAUGGUGUUGAAUCAGUUUGCAUGGAUCCUGCAAGUGAACAGACGAUGCAGCAACCAGUAUGUGCCCUGGAAGGUGGCAAUCUUGAUCUUGCUGAGGUACAUCCCUUAAAUGAAGACCCAUCUUCUACCAGCUAUUCUCAAGUUCUUCAGGAGCAACAUCUGUUGGUCAGAACAUCUUUAGAAUUCAAGGAGACCGAUGCAGAGACUCCCUUGGGCCCCACUUCACCGGUUACACAAAAGGAGACGCUCAAUGGAAAGGCAGCAUAUGAUGCGGUCAACUGCCAUUCAGGAAAGCUGGGUGAUGUUCAGAUAAAAUUAUCAGCUUUGACCAAAGCAUGCAACAUUUCUGUCAGCAACAAAAAGGACGAGUCUGCAGUGCCACAAGUUAUGAGCAGUGUUUCAGCUAGAAGAACCAGCGAAAUGCACUCAACUGAAAGGAACAGUAUGACUUCAGCCGAAGAUCUGCAACAAAAUGGAACAGAACAAGACACCUCUCUUAUUGAGAAUGCUGUUAAAGAAAAUGUUAAUUCAUGUACAGCAGAAAACGAUAAACGGAAAUCUUCACAACCUUCUGUUCAAUACUUCUUACCUAGUGCAUCACAUGAGAAAAAUAUUCUACUCGAGUCAGACAGAAGCAGUGUUGCUUGUGACCAGAAGAGGUCAGUACAAGAUGGAGUGGAAGUAAGUGAUAGUUUGUCAUCUAAAAGGAGAAGAAUAAGGCACCGAUCAGACUUUGACCUUUCUGGGACUCCUUGCACAAAUUCAUUGCCUCUGAACCACCAACUUGACAUUUCUAGCCAUAUAUUAAGUGCGACAAAUUUCUCAGAGAAAUCCCAUCCUUCAGGUCCUUACUUCACAAGGAGUUCAGGAUCCUGCAAGAGCAUGUCUCUGGUGUCAGAGGGGGGGAAUGCUGCAAGUGAUGUUUAUGGAAAUGGGAAUUCUUCACGUGGAAGAAGAAAUACAACUAGCCUAUUAAGUGGCGUCCUUGACAACUCUCCUACCGCAAGCACCAGCAGGAGUGCAUUGGAAGGACGGGUCUUCAAAAAUUCUCAAGAACAGAAACAAAAUAAGUUGGAAGUGGAGUUUCUGACAACUGCUGCUUUGCCUUAUUGCUCUGGCAUCCUAUCUCGUAAUGAGGAAAACUGCACACAGCAGGAAGGUACUUGCUUUGAAGGUCAGAACCUAAAUGUCACGGCUGCGAGUGUGGCAGACCAGGAAAUGGCUCCUGAGAUGGAUGACUUAUCAUCUCCAAUUGCAAUAUUACAUCAAGAAACUUAUUCUGGAACAGAACUGUUUACUCGAUUCCCGAGUUAUGAACAAGCAUCUGCUCCUAAUGCACUGCUUCAUGAGAAAUUAUGGUAUGACUCGAAUGAAUGUGUUAGGAAAUAUAAAAGUUGUGAUCCAAAGGGACAAUUGGGUGAUGAAUCUUUUGAUUGUGAUGGUUCAAUGCCAGUAAUGGAGAUCUUUGAUGUCUCUGACCAAUUGGACAGCCCAAUUAUCGGAAAAAGGUCAUUUGAGUCCCUACACGAUUCUCACCAAUUAGGCACCAUUUGCUCAGAUCCUCCAAACAAGCAUAAUACUAACACAGCGAGUAGUUUGCAUCCGCUAUUGACAACUACUAUGUCUGGGAAACCCAGAAACUGUCCCCUCUCUGAUGAUCUACAAUACAGUGCUAGUAACAGUCGCAGCGGUAUGGACUCCUUCGGAUGUGGACUUGAUUUGUUUUUUAUUUCUGAUGGCGUAGCCUCUUGCUCUUCAAAUGCUAGCAGCAGACAAGAGAUCAAUGAAACUCCUUUGACUCCAUCUGUUGAAAAGUAUAGCCAGAAACUUUCAUUAAGAUCUGGAUCUGGUUCAGAACAUAUGGGUUCUAUUCCUGAACUUGAAGUCUUCCGAAUUGAUGAAGACAACAGCAUUCCGGAAGAAGAUGAGUACCAAGACAUGGCUCCUGGAUCUGUAGAUGUGAAUUGCUCAUGCCAGCGACAAUCUGGGGUAACAGCACUUCAGGAUAUUACUGGAUUAUGUCAAAACAAUGGAAAUUCUCCGUCUCAUUCGAUGAGAAGCAUGGAUAAAGGUAACAUAGACUUGAGUGCAGAAUCUGUCAGUAGUGAGCUCACUCAUCAUUCAAAUAUCAGAAAUGAUAGCAUUAAGCCAAGAUACAAUCACUCUACUUCAGUUAAGAGAGAAGGAAAAGUAUCCCGUUCUCUUCAUGACAGAUCAGGUACGAAAGAAAUAACCAAAAGCAGAAGUGGAAGACACAGGAGUGAAGCAAAUAUUGACAAGCAAGGCACGACAGAAAUAAUCAACAGCAGAAAUGGAAGACACAGGAGUGAAGCAAAUGUUGACAAACAAGGCACGGCAGAACUACUCAAUAGCAAAAAUGGAAGACACAGGAGUGAAGCAAAUGUUGACAGACAAUCUAAGCCUAGCAAUAUUGUUGCCAAUGUGACAUCUUUUGUACCUCUUGUAAAACAAAAGUUGCAAUCUACAACAGUGUGCGUUAAAAAAGAUGUUAAGGUGAAGGCACUCAAGGCAGCUGAAGCUGCAAAACGUCUUGAAGAGAAGAAACAAAAGGAGCAAGAAAAGCGCAAAGCGGCUGCAAAAGCAGAGCGUGAAAGACUGAAGCAAGAGAAGGAACAAAAACAAAAACUUGAAGAGGAACAAAAGAAGAGACGAGAAGUUGAUGCGGCCGCUAAGAAGCGGCAGAGGGAAGAAGGGGAAAAAAGGGAAACGAUGAAAAGAAGAAAAUGCGUGGAUGAAGCUCGAAAGCAACAGAAGCAGCCUAUGGAUAGACAACGAGGCACGAAGGAUGAGAAAGAUGCUCGUCAAAAAGCUUCUGAUAAUAUGGAGCCAAAGAAGAAUUUGGUUGAUGUAGGCAAAAACCAAGUUAAACCUGAUGAGACUACCGAACAUGCCCUUCGAUACAAGGCCAAUGAAAGUAAGGACGAGAAAGGUGUUGCAGUAGAUGACAGGAAUGCAAGUUUUGGAUCUGAUGCUAAGGAAAAUAUCCUGAACAGUCUCGAGGAGUCCUACACAAUGACUCCUUAUAAAGAUUCUGAUGAUGAGGAUGAUGAUGAUUACGACGAACAUUUGCAAGAAGCAAGGCGCAGAAGGAAAUUUGUUCCUUGUUGGGCUCGAAAAGAAAACUUGGAUAGCAUCUUACUAUCCAAUAAAACAUUAAACCCCAGAGAAAUUUUUGCACGGAAGCUGUCCUUCAACAUAUCUGAAGUUCUUUCGGCCCGCAGCGCGCCUUAA